rnacentral:rRNA from 1 species
AGGGUGACAAUCCCGUACUUGACACGACAACCGGUGCUCUGUGAUACAUUUUCUACGAGUCGAGUUGUUUGGGAAUGCAGCUCAAAAUGGGUGGUAAAUUCCAUCUAAAGCUAAAUAUAGGCGAGAGACCGAUAGCGAACAAGUACCGUGAGGGAAAGAUGAAAAGCACUUUGGAAAGAGAGUUAAACAGUACGUGAAAUUGUUGAAAGGGAAACGAUUGAAGUCAGUCGUGUCUGUUGGUUUCAGCCUUUACCGGUGUAUUACCAGCAGACGGGUCAACAUCAGUUUUGGACGGUGGAAAAAGACAGGGAGAACGUGGCACCCUCGGGUGUGUUAUAGCUCUCUGUUGCAUACACUGUCUGAGACUGAGGAAUGCAGCUUGCCUUUAUGGCCGGGGUUCGCCCACGUACAAGCUUAGGAUGUUGACAUAAUGGCUUUAAACGAC